AGCGAACGCUGGCGGCAGGCUUAACACAUGCAAGUCGAGCGGGCGUAGCAAUACGUCAGCGGCAGACGGGUGAGUAACGCGUGGGAACGUACCUUUUGGUUCGGAACAACACAGGGAAACUUGUGCUAAUACCGGAUAAGCCCUUACGGGGAAAGAUUUAUCGCCGAAAGAUCGGCCCGCGUCUGAUUAGCUAGUUGGUAGGGUAAUGGCCUACCAAGGCGACGAUCAGUAGCUGGUCUGAGAGGAUGAUCAGCCACAUUGGGACUGAGACACGGCCCAAACUCCUACGGGUGGCAG
rnacentral:rRNA from 1 species